UGAGACAAACCCAGGGACAACUCUGAGAAGACGGAACCUGUUAGGAUGAGCUUGCCUGGCCUCCGCCCUGAACACAGGACCAGUAGCAAAAGAGAUCUGAACAUUUCUGGAAGAUUAAUUCAUCAAGCGUUCGGCUCUAUGAAACUCUGCGCCUUUCCCAUCUGUGGCUUCCCAUGUGAACCAGGGUGAGACCAGGUCUUGGAGGGUACCACACCCAACCCUCUGACAGGUGAGGGUAACAAGCCCAGGUAAGUAAAGGGACUUAAACGCAAGGCUCACAAGACUGGUUACUAGCUGAACUGGUUAACGAGCAUAAUUUCAACACAAGCAAAAUCGACGAAUCCUUUCCUCACUCUGUGAGCUCGCUGAGGCCAAGCGCAAGCCUGCCUUAUGUCUGUACCGCUGGUGCCGGGCACAGAGCGCGGCCUGGAGAGGCUCCAGGGGCUUACUGAGUGAAGAAACAGACGAGCAGGAAGCACACCACUCGAUCAGCUACCUCAUGCUGCCUCCUAAAGCGUCUAAAAGCAAGAACCUUACAGGUCUGUCCACACUGCUAAACGCUUCGCAAAUAGAUCAUCUUGUGAAAGGAAAAAGGAAUGUGGUUACAUUAAAUCAGUUUUUCUACAGGCCAGAGGGACUGUAGAGGCUGAUGAAAUUACACACCAAGCCAUGCCCAUGGCUGUUUCCAUCCAGGGGGACUGACUGCUCAUUAACGUUUGGUUUAUAAGUCAAUACUACUUUGAAUCUGCGGCUCGGGCAGUAGGGGAAGUCGUGUGGGGUGGACGAGCAAUGCAUAUGAUCUGCAUUUGUAUUGCUGGAGCCGACACCUGGCAGAGAGAACCUGUGGUGAGCGGGCAGUGGCUGGCUGUGCAGAGUUCACAACUGCGGGAGGUGCUCUGGACCACAGAGCACUCAAGUAGAAAAGGAAAAGAGUUCAGACCUGGCUAACGCAGAAAGCUCUUUUCUGACAAUCCUGAAGGAUGGCCGUUUAGCCUGCUUGGGAAUUCCCAAUGACGUGGAAGCAAGUACUUCCUAGGGCACCCUACCAUCCAGGUGAAUGGCUCCUUACACACGCACCCUGCCAUCCAGGUGGAUGGCCCCUUACACACACACCCUAGCAGCCUUCCCUGAAAUUGCACUGUUUGCCUAUUUUACCUUCAGGGGCUGGAAAGGGCACGUGUGCCUACUCCAGGAGCACCUGAAGGCAGGGACGGCAUCUUAUUUCUUCUUCCAAAAGCCAGCUCUCUGGCUAUUUGAACACUCAUCACAAAUAACCGUCAGCAGAAUAAUUCCCUAUUCCAGAGGUUUUCAAACCAUAAGAAGGUGUCUGUUGUUUCACGGAGCUCUGGAAGCAUCUUCCCGCUGUUAGCUGGUUUUGCACAUUGAGCUUAUGCAUGUGCUUUUACUUAGAAAACAAAAUUCUCAAGCUGAAAUGUUCAAGAACUACCAUCCUACCAGACAUUUCUUCAAUCUUUCUUCCUACGAUAUACAGUGUAUAUCAAAUCUACUGAGCUAAUCCAUCAAAUCUAAUUAAGACAACAGGCUCUCCCCUCCGGGGCGGAGAUAUGAGAAAACUUUUUUUCCCCACCUUCCUUUCAGAGUACCAUGCAAUUCUAGCAUGAGCUGAAGGUGUGGCCCUGUGGACGUGACUCUCCUAAUACCCACUGGCUUCUCCCUUAGCAGAAAAGAGUUAAGAUAUUACUGAUCUGGGUCAGAGAGCACAAAGCCAGUCAUGACCUCCCAAUGUCCAGACAAAGAAUUCAAGUCUUCUCAGCCCUGCUUGGCUGGGUUGCCCCUUCAGCCAGUCCAGGCCAGCAUCCCCCACAAAGUGGUCGGGAUUAGAGCAGGACUUUCUGCUAAACUGGGCUGAGGACAGGACACUCAGCACUGACCUGGCUUCCAGGAAAGCAAGCAGGGAGAGCAGCUACCGGCACAGCAUCCGACUUGACUGACGCCUCCCCCCCCACAACACACCAUCGACAUCGUCUCAGUCUUUAAAGUUUAUUCUAGUGUUUCAGAAACUGUGGUGACGACCUCAUUGGUGGGCAGUGAAAUCCACUUAGUGAUUUGUGACCGGCUUUUUUCUUUAAUGAAACAGAACAGUAAGCACGGGAAUGAGUCACGGGCAGCACAGUUUCAGCUGCGUGUGUGCAAGUGCCUUUGCAGGCAAAGUCGAUGACAACUUACUCUCUAUUCUGGGUCACCGUCAAAAAUGUCAGAAAGUAACUAAUCUGUUUUAUUGGUAUAUUUCUUUUGAUUUAUUUUCAAGUUUACUGGCUCCUUUUCCAUUAUUUACUAUUCAGGCCAUACAGAUGAUUUUAUUUCAGGUGAUAUAUUUUUUUCUAUUCUAGAACUUCCAUUUUCUUCUUUUUCUAAGUUUCUAAUUUUCUACUAACAUUUCUUAUCUUUUCACUCAUUACAAGUAUGUUCUCCUUUACGUCCUUGAGUUUAACUAAAAUAGCCGCCUUAUCAUCCUUCUCUGUGGACAUCUGGAUGGUGGUCUGGAACUAUGCAUUCGUUGUUUUUUUUUCUUUUUU